rnacentral:rRNA from 1 species
GACGAACGCUGGCGGCGUGCUUAACACAUGCAAGUCGAACGAGUGCGGAAGGGGUGAGUAAUAGUGGGGUAACCUGCCCUAUUUAUGGGUUAAGCCUUGGAAACGGGGGCUAAUACGGAAUCAGGGGGGAGGGGUGUGCGGCUUAUCAGCUUGUUGGGGGGGUGAGGGCCUACCAAGGCGGUGAAGGGCAGCCGGCCGGUGAGGGGGACCGGACACAUGGGGAGUGGGAGACGGCCCAGACUGCUACGGGAGGCAGCAGUGGGGGAGAUUGCACAAGGGGCGAAAGCCUGAUGCAGGGACGCGGCGUGGGGGAUGGAGGCUUAAGGGUUGUAAACCGGUUUGGAUAGCGAACGGGUAGGUGGAGAAGAAGCGCCGGCUAACUACGUGCCAGCAGCCGCGGUAAUUC